AGUGAACGCUGGCGGUAGGCCUAACACAUGCAAGUCGAACGGCAGCACAGUAAAGGCUUGCUCUUACGGGUGGCGAGUGGCGGACGGGUGAGGAAUACAUCGGAAUCUACGGUUUCGGGGGGGAUAACGUAGGGAGACUUACGCGAAUAACGCAUACGACCUACGGGUGAAAGCAGGGGAUCUUAGGACCUUGCGGGAUUGAAUGCGCAGAGGUCGGAUUAGCUAGUUGGCGGGGUAAAGGCCCACCAAGGCGACGAGCCGUAGCAGGUCUGAGAGGAUGAUUACACACACUGGAAGUGAGACACGGUCCAGACUCUGACGGGAGGCAGCAGUGGGGAAUAUUGGGCAAUGGGCGAAAGCCUGAUCCAGCCAUACCGCGUGGGUGAAGAAGGCCUUCGGGUUGGAAAGCCCUGUUGGUGGGAAAGAAGAGCAGCAGGUUAACACCUCGCGGUUCUGACGGUACUCAAAGAAUAAGCACCGGCUAACUUCGUG
rnacentral:rRNA from 1 species